GACGAACGCUGGCGGCGUGCUUAACACAUGCAAGUCGAACGGAAAGGCCCUGCUUUUGUGGGGUGCUCGAGUGGCGAACGGGUGAGUAACACGAGAGUAACCUGCCCUUGACUUUGGGAUAACUUCAGGAAACUGGGGCUAAUACCGGAUAGGAGCUCCUGCUGCAUGGUGGGGGUUGGAAAGUUUCGGCGGUUGGGGAUGGACUCGCGGCUUAUCAGCUUGUUGGUGGGGUAGUGGCUUACCAAGGCUUUGACGGGUAGCCAGCCUGAGAGGGUGACCGGCCACAUUGGGACUGGGAUAGUGACCAGACUCCUACGGGAGGCUGCAGUGGGGAAUAUUGCACAAUGGGAGGAAGCCUGAUGCAGCAGCGCCGCGUGCGGGAUGACGGCCUUCGUGUUGUAAACCGCUUUCGCCUGUGACGAAGCGUGAGUGACGGUAAUGGGUAAAGAAGCACCGGCUAACUACGUG
rnacentral:rRNA from 1 species